rnacentral:rRNA from 1 species
GAUCCUGGCUCAGGAUGAACGCUGGCGGCAUGCCUAAGACAUGCAAGUCGUACGAGAAGGCCCAUUGAAGUUUGAGUGCUUGCACAAUUUCUGAUUUGGAUUUUCCUUCUAGUGGCGGACGGGUGAGUAACACGUGGGUGACCUACCUUUGAGUCUGGGAUAACUACUGGAAACGGUAGCUAAUACCGAAUAACAUACAGUUUCGUUUCUGUAUUAAAAGGCGCUUUCAAGCGUCGCUCUUAGAUGGG